UGUUAAAACUACCCUCUUAUACUCUGGUGUGUGGGAUUGUCUGGACCUUUGCCAGAAAUGGUAAAGGGUAUGUGCUUAUUGCCCGCUCUGUGGGAUAUUCUGGACCUUUGCCAGAAAUGGUAAAGGGUAUGUGCUUAGAGCCUGCGAUGCUCUGUCGGCCCCCUCUGACUUCACCUAGACGUGGGUGGAUGGAGAUCCCAGACGUGGGUGGAUGGACCUCCCAGACGUGGGAGACUUUUGUCAGGUGGUCAUUCAGAAAUUGAUGAAUCACAUUCUGACUGAGAUCCCACUACACCUUCUAUAUGUUUGUUAUGACAUCCAGAGUUUUGGUGAGUUGUUUCUGUUCAUGCUCUGGAUAAGAAUGAUAUGAUUGCAACGUCAAGGACGAUGUUUGAGCUUCUGUACGAUAUUUAUUUUUGAUAUGCUCUGAAAUGCUUCAUUCACUGAUGAUUUUGUUUCAAAAUGUUCCAUAUGCCGUUGAUAUGCUUCGGAACAUUUUAUAUGCCAUUGAUAAGCUCCGAUAUGUUUCCUUUGUUACUGAUAUGCUCCAAUUACUCUAUGCCCCAUAUGUCAGGAACCAAAUAUGUAAGAUUGAAAGGACAAUUGUGUUUCUGCUCCUAAUGAUAUUAUGUCCACGAAAUCGUAUAUUCUGCCUUGUAUUUUGAAACUGUAUCUCUUUGGAAAUUGUCCUGUUUUGAUAUGGAUAUGUUAGUCACUUGCUGAGCUCUAUAUGCUCACCCUGUUUGUUGAUAAAUUUUUCAGGAUAGCGUAUCGCUUGCUUAAAUGUUAAGAUUGGACUGAGGUAGUGGAAAGUUAGAAGAUUUUGG
rnacentral:lncRNA from 1 species